rnacentral:lncRNA from 1 species
AGAAGGUUCACAGACUUGGGCCAAAUAUUACUCCAUUCAGUUUAGUUCAUCUCUAUUGAACCCUGCAGCACACCAAGCCCUGGGCCCUGGCAGGGCACACGGAGUUGAAUGUGGCUUGUCCCUGCUCUUAAGGACCUCAGGCCAGUGGGGCAGGUGUCACAUUGAACAAAUAUACUUACUCUCACAAAGACAUAGAUUAUGAUGGGAGAAAGGAAGGGACUGGGAGAGUGUGGAGGGAAAUGGGUCUGGCUUUAGUUCUCCCUCUCUGGUCCUAAAAGGGAGGUCCAAAAUUAAAUUCACUUGGAAACGUGUGGGCUAAAGUUAACUUUUGCACUCUCUGGAGAGGUGUUUUCUAAAAACAUUUAAAGCAAAACAUUUUCAAAAUGGGCCUUUAUGACAUCUAUUAAGUAAUGCAUUUGUCAGUUAGAGCUGUCUCCUAUAUUCAUUAAAGUUGAAAUUUUUUUUUUUUGAGAAGGAGUCUCACUCUGUUGCCCAGGCUGGAGUGUGCAAUGGCACAAUCUUGGGUCACUGCAACCUCCACCUCUCGGGUUCAAGCGAUUCUUCUGCCUGAGCCUCCCAAGUAGCUGGGACUGCAGGCGCAUGCCACCACACCCAGCUAAUUUUUGUAUUUUUAGUAGAGACAGGGUUUCACCCAUAUUAGCCAGGCUGACUCGAACUCCUGACCUCGUGAUUCACCCGCCUCAGCCUCCCAAAGUGCUGGGAUUACAGGCGUGAGCCACCACAGCCAGCCUCAAGUUGAAUUUUUUAAUCCCCUCUUUUUAGAAUAUUCUGCUAGCAAUAAGUUCCUGUACUCUGUGGACAAUAAUACAUUCCUUACUUUGUAUUCAUGUGAUGCUUAUCCAUGUCCUGCUUUGUGGCAUUCCUUUGUAUUGUCUUGCUGUUGUUGUUGUUGUUGUUCUUCUUCUUCCUUCUUCUUUUUCUUCCUUCUUCUUUUUCUUCCUUUUGAGACUUUUGAACUUACUCAAAAUUAAACACAAUAAUAUAAUGAGCCGCCAUUUAGCUAUUCCCAGCACCAACUACCAUCAAUUCACAGCCAAUUGUGUCCUUUCUACAUUCCCAUUAACCUCCCUCCCUCCUGUAUCAUUUUGAAGCAAACUCCAGACAUCACGUCAUUUCAUCUUACAUACUUUAUGUUCUAGAGUAUGUAUGUAGAACAUAAAGGGUCUUUCUUUUUAACACAACCACAAUACUAUUAUUAUAACUAAGCCAAACAAAGAACAAUUCCUUAAUAUCAUCAAAUAUUGUGUUCUAAUAUCUAAUCAUCUCCCAAAUGUCAUAAAUGGUUGCUAGGUUCUUUUUCUAGUUUGUUAGAAUCUGGUCCAACUAAGGUCUAUGCAUGGCAUUUGACUAAUAUAUUUUUAAAUCUUUUUAGUCUACAGGUAUUGCCUCCAUUCUUUUUUAUUUUCCUUGCAAUUUAUUUGAGUGUAUUGUCUUUGAGAUUGUUUUAAAUUUCUUGCAUGAGAGGAACUGGAGCUUGGAGGAGUUUAUGAAAUGAUAUAGAAGAAGGUAUUUUUCUCUUUUUCAUAUUUGUCUUAUUUUAGAAAUAUCCAUUUGGGAGCUGAAAUGAAAACAUCCACUUCCUCACUCCCAGUGUACCCAACUGAAUAUCAUGACAUCAAUACAAUCUCCUCAGGUCCAUGGUUAGAUAACUAUUGUCUUCUUGAAAAUCAACCCAGGAUCCCAAAGGACCAAAAUCACUGAGAGAAGGCCCCAGUCCAGGGAGCAACAGACAACAACAGGAGAACUUUUGGCAUAUUCAUUCCGUUUGCAUUUGCCUGUUUUCUUUCUCCUCUAUGACUUCCAAGAUCCCUCCCAAAGCGUGAUUCUAUGAUUCUUGUAGAGUCUUAGGACAUCUAAAACCCCCAGAAAAAACUUAACUGCCAAAUUAUUUCAGGAGAAUAAAAUACACCAGAUGCCAGGCCAACUCCUUGAGCUUUGAUGAAUAUAGAUAUUUGGCCAGUAGUGAUAAAUGUGGAGAAACCUCUUUUUCCCUUCAUCAAUCACAAUUGUUGGAAUGCUAUUAUCUAGUUGACACACAGAGAUCUCUGCAGUUUUCUAACUUUAAAAGUUUGGGCCAGGUGCAGUAGCUCAUGCCUGUAAUCUUGGUACUUCAGGAAGUCAAAGCAAGAGAAUCACUUGAGGCCAGAAGUUUGAGACCAGUCUGAGCAACAUAGUGGGACCCUGUCUCACACAAAAAAAUUUUUUAAUAUUAACUGAGCAUGGUGAUGCAUACCUGUACUCCCAGCUACUUAGGAGGCCGAGACUGCAAUGAGCUGUGAUCUCACCACUGCACUCCACCCUAGGUGACAGAAUGAUACCUUGUUUAAAAAAAAGUUUGUAAAAAUCCUUGCAGGGGAAGAGCCCAAGCUCAUGAGUUUGGGAGGGCCACACAACCUGUCCCAGAGUUCUGCCUAGGAAUUGAGAGAUAUGGAUCCUCACUCAGUCAUUGCCACUCAUGUGUAAUUUGGUCUCACACACAACUUCCUCAUUUGUGCAGAAGCCUCCUCAACCCA